GGGGGAAGAGAAGGCUCUCGCUGCCCCGGCUUGCCGGGGGAGAGGAAAGUCUGGACUUCAGAAGAGAGGAUACCGGCGAAAGGCCGGGGGCCGAGGAAACACUUUUGUUUUCGAAGGCUACGGAAAGUGCAACAGAAAGUAUUCCGGCUCUCCUUAGGGAGGGCACAGGGUGAAAUGCCCGUUUUAAGAGCGGGCUGUACCUCGGGCAACCGGGGACAACGGCAAACCCUAUCCGAAGCAAGAUUAAAGCGCUGCGAUACCGAACUCUCCGGUGCAGCGGACAAUAUCGCUUGAGGGUAUCGGCAACGAUACUCCUAGACGAAUGAGAGUCGUCUUCGCCCCUUUCGGGGGGCAAGAAACAGAAUCCGGCUUACCCUCUUCCCCCACUU
rnacentral:RNase_P_RNA from 1 species